rnacentral:rRNA from 1 species
UGCAGUCGAACGGCAGCACAGAGGAGCUUGCUCCUUGGGUGGCGAGUGGCGGACGGGUGAGUAAUGCAUCGGGAUCUACCCUGACGUGGGGGAUAACCUCGGGAAACCGGGACUAAUACCGCAUACGUCCUACGGGAGAAAGCGGGGGACCUUUUAGGCCUCGCGCGGCAGGACGAACCGAUGUGCGAUUAGCUAGUUGGCGGGGUAAUGGCCCACCAAGGCGACGAUCGCUAGCUGGUCUGAGAGGAUGAUCAGCCACACUGGGACUGAGACACGGCCCAGACUCCUACGGGAGGCAGCAGUGGGGAAUAUUGGACAAUGGGCGCAAGCCUGAUCCAGCAAUGCCGCGUGUGUGAAGAAGGCCUUCGGGUUGUAAAGCACUUUUAUCAGGAGCGAAAUCUGCAUGCUUAAUACGUGUGCAGUCUGACGGUACCUGAGGAAUAAGCACCGGCUAACUUCGUGCCAGCAGCCCGCGGUAAA